CGCAAAUAAAGUUCAGAUGCCCGAAAGCAUCCCGAUGUUGUAGCUGUUUCUCCUGAGCGGUUGGAGUCGUUUCUGAGCUCCGGUUUGCAUUGGUGGCCACUGAGCUUGGCGUGUUCCAAGGCAGACGACCCUGGUUUACAUUUGCUCGUGUCAAAGGCGCUGCAUGCUACAGACAGAGCAGACCGAGACCAACAGAGUGCUUCACAAAUACUGAUGGAGAGUGAAAAUGCAAAAGGAUAACUGCAGCGUCUAAAGGGAAAUUGUCCAAGCACAGGAGAAGAGGCAUACUGGAAAGAGAAGAGCCUUCGACGUGUUUGCGUAGCCAGAAGAUAAAGCUUCGUGGCAUGACGUGAUGUCCUCCAGAUGUACUGGGAAGCCCUGCACACACCUCCAGAGAGCAGCUGAAGAGCAGCAGCAGAUGGCCACGGCAGCAUGCAACGCACCAGCCCCGCUGCCCUAUGUAUCAUGGGGGCUCAGUGUUCAAGGGAUGCACAGUGCAGCUCAGAAGCCUGGGCUGAUGGGGCUGGAUGCUGCAGCGCAGACAUGGCACCGUGAAACCUCUGUGCCCCAGGGCCUGCAGUUUGCUGCCGGUGUUAGGGCCGUGGUGAGGAUGGCAGCUCACCCAGCCUCUGGAGCCAGGCUGGCUGCCUGACAGCCCGGCCACAAGUGCUGUGCCAUAUUGGAGCUCAGCAGCUGCCCCAAGCUGGCGGGCUGUGCGCCAGCCAGACGAGCUGCCCAGAGGUAGCGGUGAGUAAGGCAUCACUUCUGAACGUGACUUGGCAGUGUCAGGAUUAAAACCAAAGAGCCAACAAAAGCAAAAAUAAAAAUAAUUUAAAAAAAUAAAAACAAAACCUAACAAUGAUAACAGUGAUUUCUCCAGAAAAGAAUCAGGUUGAGAAAUGGUCUUACCUUAAGAAAAGGCUCACUGUGGCCUUCCAGAAGGGAGCUCACAAGCAGGAGGGGCACAGGGCAAAGGGGAAUGGUUUAUACUAAAAGAGAGGAGAUUUAGGUUAGGUGUUAGGAAGAAAAUCUUUACUCAGAUGGUGGUGAGGCACUGGCACAGACUGCCUGGAGAAGCUGUGUAUAUCCCAUCACUGGAAGCAUUCAGUGCCAGGUUGGAUGGGGCCCUGGGCAGCCAAAUCUGGUGGGUGGCAGCUUUACCCAUGCCCAGUGGGUUGGAACUAGAUGAUCUUUAAGGUCUCCCCCAACCUAAGCCAUCCUAUGAUUCUAUGACUGUUCAGCUACAAUGAAAGGCUAUAGUCUUCAGCUGGUGGCUGGACACUGGAUUGCACUCAUAAAAUAGAACUGCCUGCAAGGGCUGAAUGCCAUAAUUAACAGGCAUUUUUUAGAAAUUAUUGGUUAAUGUAAUAGAAAUACUGCCAACUGUUGUUGUUAAAACCUAAGUUUGUUCCUUUGGUGGUAAUGCAUAAUGACUCAACACUGCUUCAAUGGGAAGAUACCUUUGUCUGUUACAUAUUGCUACCUUCAUUUGUACAAUGGUUUAUAUGGCAAAUAAUACAAAUUCUGAAACUUAAAGACAGCUUCAGGAAGUAAUCAGAGUGCCACCCGUGUCCUGGGCGAUCACAGUACUGGCAGUACAACAAGGCCUUUUUAUCAUAUCAUGGCAUUAAUGAUCCAAUCCCACUCCCACGGCAGGCAAUGUGGCCUUUAUCACCAAUGCUGUUUAAGCAGGACUAAGCUUAAAGGGUUCUAGAACAGGGAAAGAUGCUAAUCUAAGUUUCACAUCCAUCUGGUACAUUUCUCAUGCAGGUUAUACAUGACCACCUAGAGAACUACUGCACAUUUUUAGUAACAAACUCUAUGAGCCCUACCAGGGAAUACAGGUUGUCCUCAGAUAAUGGGAUCUACUCAUAUGAUGCAGAUGUCUUAUCACCUAAGAACAUUUUCACAAUAUUACAAUAGCGACCGAAAGGUUAUUUCUCAAACCCUGUCUGUCACCCAGUAGGUACCAGCUGAAAAGUUUCUGUUUGAUUGCUAAAGAGUAGAAAGCAAUGAACACACAUUGGCAAAUCUUAGAUCAGGCAUGAUGUGGAUGUUGCACACCUCAGACUAACGCCCACCUUCACUUCAGGGAAAGGAGAAACCAGACCUGCAGACACACUAAUCGCUCCUGCUCUCAGAGUUCCCACUCACCUGGUUGGAAAUGAACUGCAGAACCUUGCUGCUUUCUAUUUACUGCACUGAGAGCCAGUGAUUUCUGAGUACUUCCAGUCAUCAACUGCAUGGCUAUUGCAGCAUUUUAUGAUGUAAAAUCCUCCUAAUGUACGAAUUAAAAAAAUAUAUAUGCAGUCUGUGCUGAGAUUGACAAUUCUGAUACAAGAGGGGGAGGUGAAGUCCAAUCUCUGCUCAGCUGGGAGGAACGCAAAGGUGAUGACACACCACUUAGUUUUGGGACAGCUUGGAGGUGUGGGUGUACGACCCACCAAAGCGGGGUCACUUCACCCAAAGGAGGGCAAGCAGCAGAACUGGGCUGUCAUGCACAAGACUCAAACCAUCAGACUGUGCCAGAGUCAAAAUGAGAGCUCCCAGAGCCUGGUUUCCAGCUGCACCCACUGCUGAGCAGAGACUGUGCAUCCCCAUCAAGUGCAGGAGGUCAUGUCCUUCAGCUGCUUCUAAGGGAAGGCGCUUCAGAGCACACAGGCACACUCAGCAACGCUGGUGGUGGACACAUGCAGACGUGGCCGAGGAAAGCUAAACAGGAUGCAUCAGCACCAAAGGGAUCUGGGCAGCCCAUCCCACUGGCUUUCAGUAGCACUGAAUAUGACGGGCUCUUGGACAAACCUGUGGAUCCCAGCCUGCCAUGUGACACUGCUAAGUGACUCUUGUCAGUAGAGCGUAGCAACUUGACUUAUUCCCUUCUGCAGAGCACACACUGGCCUGUGUACUGUCCAGGGGAGAAGCAGAGCCUCGCAAUUGGAAGGCGGGCACCAAAAGACACACGUGGGGCUGGAAGCUGGACAGUCCCAGCACCCAGGUCAGAAAUAAAACUGCUUUUACAGCAAGGAUUUCAGUAUAUGGUCUGGCUGUUGCUGACCUUGUCUGAGAACCUCUGUCAGCAGUGUGCCCAAUAGCUGACACGCUGCAGGCCUCUAUCAGAUGACAUUGCUAUUACAGUGCCUGCAGAGGUGGGGAAGUUCAUAUGUUAACAAACAAUACUGAGUGAAUUGAUUCCUCCUGCCUGCAUUGCCGUUGCUGUUCCACUCCCUCCACAAAACUAGGCUUUAGGAUACAGUUUAUUCCCUUUUCCAUGUAUCACUGUAACUGCAGUACUGUUGUAGACCAGCUAGAAGAAGUGGAGUUGUGAAUUCACCUUCUCUUUGGAAAUGUUACUCCAUCCACCCACACCUCUUUCUUCUUUGCUAACUCCAGUCAUCCAUCCCCAGGACCUACACCCACACUGAUCCCAACUCACUGAUGAACAUACAUGGAAAAAGGCCUUGCUAAAUAGAUUGCAGCUCCUGUCCCAUAGCUGUGUUUAUAGGAUCAUUGGAUACUAAAUCUAAUACAUAAAUGAGAACCCACUGGUUGAGUAAGGUCUCUGGAUUUAGUGCUCGCUCCAUGAAACAGGUUACUCAGCACAGCAGCUCCGGGUGCCCCAGGACACAGGGCUCAGCCAAGUGGAGGCCUGACCCCAAAGAGACUAACUCUGAUGCUGUUUGGGAACUUCUCCCCAUAGUGACAGGACACUCAGAACCUGAGUGAGGAGACACCUGAACCAUUCAGGAGGACUCCAGCUUCCACCCAACAGAGGUCCCAUCAGCCAAGCUGCCAAAGGUGCCCUGGAGUCCCAUCCCUCUCUCCCAGGGAAAGCCCUGCAACGCUGGGGCCCUAUGAGCUUGGGCUCAUUUCAUUUAAGUCUUCCCACUUUAUAGCAACAAUGUCCUGAAAAGAUUGGAGGAUGCAGAACAAACAGAAACUCAGCAUGGCACAGCGAUGCAAAAAAAGGUUCCAAAAGGUCAAGACAGGGAGAAGUGGAUGAACUCUGGUAUUUUAACAGCUCGGCAUUGAUGCCAUAAAUUAAAAGGAAGUGUGCUGGAUGUUUUAUUUUCUGUGUGUGGUAAACUGUACAGUUAGAGUCUGAAUAAACCUCUUUUGUCAAUUUUACUACCUUUCUGAUAUAAAAAUAAAUAAACUUAAACAAAGAAGAAGUGGAGACCUGCCAAGCCAGCCUACUUUGGUAAGAACUGCACUGACAAGGGAGCAAUUGUGUCUUAAAGCUGAGGGGCUGAAACGAUCAGCUUUUGGGGGCUGGCAAAGCCCUUCUGGAAGGGAGCUGCUCUGUAUGCAGGAGGAGCUACAGGAGAAGGAAAAAAAAAAAGGACACUCAUCUAAAAGGCAACAAAAGAACAUCAUUAAAAUUUCUGCUACCAGAACUGCUUCCCUGUUUGAUGGGAAGGCUGCAGGUAAAUAGCUGCUGCAAAAUAUACCAGGGUAACAGCACCUAGGAGCAUUUUAAUGGUGAUAUAAAAUUCACAAGUAAAUGAUAUAAUGUACUAAGUAACUUAUUAGGCUGAAUAUAAAACAAAGGUAUCAAGAAUGAUGGUUUUACUCUGCAGUGAAUCUCAGCAAUGAGUUCUAGGCUUACCAGUCCAAUGCCAAGCAUGAGAACUUCCAGUAGGCAGCAACACGUAAUUACCGCUGGGUGGAGGUGAAUCAACCACUUUCCGUCAUGAAGCCAAUGAGGGACCCUCAGACAAUCUGCCAAAGGUGGGUGGGUGAAUGAGUGUUACUUUCCUGCUAGGCUCCCAUCAGGGCACCACACCUUGUGAUAUUAUCUCUGUAAUAACCAAACAACUUUAAAUGAUAUUGUGUCACUGCAAAUGAAGCAGGAGGGUGACCCAGCAAGUCAGAUUUCAUUAGUGCAUGAGGGACUGCACUCCAGCAUGCAGCUACACACACACACACACACCUUCAGACCCUGGAAACCUCAGCCUGCAAUGCAGAGCAAUCUAAACUUUAGCCAUACAUGCCUGAGAUUGUGUCUCCUCCAUGAGAGAUGCACAUGGACUUGCACAUGCAUAGCAGGCUUAUCACUACACCCAUGUCCUAUUUGCUUUUCUGUGUGUCACUGUUGAAAGUUUUCUAAUGCGCUAGGUAAGAAGAUUGCAAAUGAAGCAGAACUUCAACUGCUCAAUCGCAUUAAUACGGGUACAGUAAAAGAUGACAGGAUUACAUACAGUUCGUCUAAUUAGCAAGCCAUGUGCAGCAUUGCCUGCCCAAGUGUUCAUGCACUCAGGCUCGUUGCCUCCCACCACUGCACCUUUCCUGCCGCUUUCCUCAACUGCAAUUGCCUGCUCUAGUUCCAGUCACAGGGGACGUAUCUGGUCUGCCAUAACUUUCCAGCUGUGAACACACCAGUGACUCCUGCCAGCCCUCCACUGUUCUGACUAGCAUCUCCAAGAGCUUUCCAGGCAGAAGGAGUGAUUCAGAAGACUUUGGAGAUGUCGCACUGGCUGGGAGCAAGUGCUGUUGUCUGCCACAAGGAGAGAGCUUCAAGCCAUCCAAGGGCAUGCCAUAUUGGUUCACAAGGGCCUGAACUACAAUAGUUAGAUAAGUUUGAUGACAGAAAGUAAGAAAGAAAACGACUGGAAAGUCACCAGGUCAGACUGUGGGGCCAGAGCAGGAAAAAGGCUUUGCCAAAGUCAUACCUAGUGAAACUCAACCGUCUUCUGUGAAUUCAACCUCCUAUAGGCCAUUGUGCUAAUGUGUAUUUUGGCAAGUGCCUGACCCUUCCUGUUGACUGAAAUACUCAUGCUCUCUAGAAAUGACUAGGCCUGCACUCAACUCUCCAAGCAGCUAACCUUACCCCUUCUUCUUUCUUAUUUCUUCCUCUUGCAAAACCAGUCAAAUCCCUGCUGGGUGCCAGGAUCAGACAAUACCAUACUUCUGCCAUCUGUUGGUCUGGUUCCUCCUCGUUUCCUGUUUCUUCCCUCUAAGACUGCCUUAUGGUAACACAAAAGCCAUGGCAACAACAGUAGGAAGGUCACUCUUGGUGGCCAGGCUGGGAAGAAAGGGACUCCCAGCAGAGGAGAAGUAGGUGUGCCCUGGUUAGGUUGCUUCUGAAUUUGACCUGCUUAGCCACUCCCUACCAAAAAUCUCCUCAACCAGCACAUCAGGCUCAUGCUGUAGGUGUCACAAACUCCACACGUGUAAUCAACUGGCUUCUUCUGAAAGGGAUUAGCCUAAGCAUUAGGAAAGAACUAGGUGUCAUUUUUAAGGUAUCAGUACAUUUUUUGGGGGUAAUAUUCCCAAGCAAGUCCAUUUGGAAGCCAUUUCCAAACACAUGGACAAGAAUGCAACUGAGAACAGGCAGUGUGGAUUUACUAAGGUCAAAGUGUACCUGGCCAACAUGGUUGUCUUCUGUGCUGGAAUGACGUACUGGAUGAACAAGGUUAGGGAUGCUGUGGAUGUCACUUACCUCGGUUUUAGCACAGCCUGUAACACUGUCUCCUGUUCAAAGCAAACUGGGGUGGUACAGACUUGAUGGAUGGCCCACAGCAUACCUGGAAAAAGUACGUGAAGCUCAAAAGGCAGUAAUGGUCAACAGCUAGACUUUUAAUUAAUUGGCAUUAAGAAAUGGCAUUCUUCAAGGGACAACACUAGGGCCUGUCUUCACCAGCAUCCUGGAUGAAAGGCUGCAACGCACGUUCUGCAUGUUUGCGCAUGACGCUGUGUUCAGGGUGUAGAUCAUUAUGCUGGAGGACAGGACAGCCAUUCACAUAUUCUUCAGCAGCCUCAAAGACCAAUCUUACAGAAAUCUCCUCAAAUAUACCAAAGAGACAGACAAAAUCUGCACGCGAUACAGAAUUAAUCUGAGCAACAGCAGAGGAUGGGAGCUGAGUGGCUAGCAAGGAGCUUCACUGAAAAAAGCACCUGGGGUCCCAGUGGACAAAAUGCUCAUCAUGAGUCAGCUGUGAGGCUGUGCAGUGGUGACAGCCAAUUGCACCCUCACUGCACAGGAGGUAACGGAACCAGAUGCUCAUCAGCAGUGCACAGUGCAAGGGCAAUGACCGCAAGCUGUAGUAGGAGAAAUUCCACUGAAUGUAACUGGAGAAACGCUUCAAAAUGAAAGCUGACAUGCAUUGAAACGGGUGCCCAAAGAGGUUUGUGAAAUCUCCACCUUCCAACAUUGAACAGCAAAGCCCUAAGUAGCCUAAGCUCAUGCUGAAGUCAGCCCCCUUUGAGGAGGUUGGCUGCAGCCCUCUAGAUGCUCUUUCCAACCACAAUUAUUUGAUGAUUUUUAAUUUUUUUUAAACAGCUGUUCGUCUGGGAGACCUGGCUGGAGUUGGUUACAGAUUCCUCGAAAAGAACGAAGCUGUUAUCUCCACAGCAUCACCUGCCAGUUAUUGCUUAUUUGUAAUAUGAAUGAAUUCAGUGCAUACAUCACAAGUCCAGACAGUCAAGAGACUUCAGUUCUGAGAUUUUAUCUUCGAGGAUCAAAGAACUGAACUUUCUCUCUCUGAUCUUCAACCUGAGCAAAAAAAAAGAGGUCUGUCUUUAAUGCACUGUCAAAACCUCCCCACUUCAGAGGCAGCAUGAGAAAGACUGUUUCUGGGCUUUAUUUUGGAUUUAUGCAGCUCUCACGCGUUCUUGUGGUGACAACUGGACAUGUUGUGAGACUUCCUAAUAAAACAAUUGUUUCGGCCUGAAAUGUUGUAGAAGCAGUGUAUAACAUAUGGCCUCCAAAUGCAACACCUACUUCAGCAUCUGCACCCUACCAUAUAUACACGUACAUUUAUAUACAGCAGUCCAGGCUGCCAAAGGCUCAGAAGAUCUGCUAGCUACCAUGAAAAAUGGCUGCUGGCUCUUAGCAGAACCACACUGCAAAUGUGGGGUGUGGAUCCACAAGGCUGUGCCUUCCAGCAGCAAGGGCUGCAGUGCCAGGUGUGCCGGCACACCAGGAGAAGCUAAGGACAGAGGACUCCCCAAAAGGCACUGGUGUGCAAGGGCAUUUUUACCUCCCAGGCUGAGCAGAGACACAGGUCCCCAGCGAGUCGCAGCCCCAGAUGCCCCCUGAAAAACCGCAGCUGACCCAGGCACUCUGCAAGCCUGCGGUCAGAACCACAGUGGACACCCAGAGAAAGUAACAGACUUAGCUCUAAUCCCUGCACCAGUUGGUCUCGCAGACCCCGACACAGAACCCGGGCUGAGAAGCAAAAAAUAAAUAAAUAAAAGUAAAAACCCGUAUGUAUUUGAAAGCAUGUCCAGAAACAAACAAGCAAAACCUCUUAUCCAAACAAAUCAUAGUUAGAUCUUGGGUGAGACCAUGUUUAUGAAGGUUUAGCCAAGGAGCUUGCUUGGAGAUACCUCUCCAGCCUUAGCAUAACACAACCAGCCUGGACAAGUGCUACUAGAAAACACUUCAUUAAAACGCUGUUGUGGUAUUUAUUUAUAGGUAGCAAUUUAUAUCACACCCAUCGUACACACCAAUCCGGCAGCUAUGAUUGUCAAAUCAAACUGCUUCUUCCACAACACCCCCUGCCCCCAGCCCACCUCCCGCUGCCACUCUCUUAGCAAAACAACCGUUUCCCACCUGACACGGCUGUCCCUCUGAAUAUAAGCCUUUGUUUGAACUUACUGAGCCCUACGUGUUCCAAACACAGGUGGGCAUCAAAGAUGCAACAGCCUCAUCAAGAGCCAGGCACACAUCUGUGGUGCUCUGCAUUCUAUUCUGUGAUUCUAUACAACCAGUGACCACUGCAGAGCUCUCCCCAGGAGACAGCUGGCAGCUGCGUUCUGCAUCUGCUGGAGAAUCCAAGUGGCUCUGGACGUAUCAAGGAUAAUACCAGAGAAGCUUCUCUGCGUGUUGUGGACACUGGUGGAAAAGGCAGUGUGAUAAAACACCUUACAAGAAAGCCCUGGGUGUGUCUUCAGUGAGGGGAAGGAAAAAAAAAAGAAAAGAAAGGAAGAAAAAAAGGACUGGCAAAAAAAGAGGUUAGAUGAGGUAGCUGGGACUGCCGGGGGCAAUCUGAAAUCAGUUUACAUUAGAGCAGGUUGCUCUUGAUUUUGCUACAGCAGUUGUCACGCUUGGUAAGAAUAACAAGCUAUUCAUACGGCAGCCACCAUUGUGCAGCUCAGCACAUGCAGCCUAGUGGAAAGAAAUCCAAGCAAAUGCAGUGACUAGGAUAGGACAGUAAAAAGAAAUGGUUAUGUAAAUAAGUUUCGACUUCAGAAAUCCGCGAGAACAAUUGUUUCCCUGUAAGAGGGCUUCGUCACUGGAGCACGUGAGGCUUUAUCCUACAUCUGCACUUCGAAAAGCCCACAUAUACAGCCCGCUGCAGCUCCCAGGUUCUUCCCACCGUCUGUCCCUUUCAAUCUCCAGCUUUUUUUUUUUUUAAUACUCUCAAGUUCUUCAGCUAUCUAGAGUUCCACCUUCAUGCAUGCCCAGAACUGCCCCAGUCUUGACAGGGCCAAGCAGCUCAGCCCAUUUCACACCUAACUCUGAUCAGGAUCCAGAAACUGGGCGUUGCUUUGCCUGAACCCCCUGAGGGCUUUCAUUGGGGAUUAUAUGUUACCUGGUGACUGUUCCAUGUAAAAUGCAUAAACAGUCCUGGGAGCAGAGUCCAGACUCUCAAACUCCCAUGUGAAUGCUCAAACCAGUAGGAAAGACAGCCACGCUCCCUCGCAUGCACUUGCUUUGUGGCCCAGUGAUUCAACAGCACACUGCUGAGUGCAGGCAAGCAGCGCCGAGCUCCCCAGUGCGUUGUCUGGAUGCUCUGCAAGAGGUGGACGGUGGGAAUGAUGACCCUGAGGACCACAGCGACCCAGUUGGUCACCUUCUGGCUGCCAGCAAUCAAUGUUUCAGAUUAAAUAUGUUUGCUGUGACAGAAAGGCUGGCUGUACUCACCUUGCAGAGGAGCUGUUGGGAUGGGUGUCUGCAGACUUAAAAACUUCAGGUUUUCCUAUUAGUAUCCUGGGUAUAACUUCAAAAGCUUCUAUCUGCAAAUGGUUACACCAGGUAGGUGCUCAGCCUGGGCACUCAGGUCUUGGAGCAUCAAAUGAGGAGGUUGGUGAAGUAGCACACGCUAAGGCAUAAAUGCCAUUGGGAAAAUCUGUGCUGAUACUACUGCUUCAGAAGCAAAGUCC
ensembl:lncRNA